rnacentral:rRNA from 1 species
GAUGAACGCUGGCGGCGUGCCUAAUACAUGCAAGUCGAGCGAAUGGAUUAAGAGCUUGCUCUUAUGAAGUUAGCGGCGGACGGGUGAGUAACACGUGGGUAACCUGCCCAUAAGACUGGGAUAACUCCGGGAAACCGGGGCUAAUACCGGAUAACAUUUUGAACCGCAUGGUUCGAGAUUGAAAGGCGGCUUCGGCUGUCACUUAUGGAUGGACCCGCGUCGCAUUAGCUAGUUGGUGAGGUAACGGCUCACCAAGGCAACGAGGCGUAGCCGACUUGAGAGGGUGAUCGGCCACACUGGGACUGAGACACGGCCCAGACUCCUACGGGAGGCAGCAGUAGGGAAUCUUCCGCAAUGGACGAAAGUCUGACGGAGCAACGCCGCGUGAGUGAUGAAGGCUUUCGGGUCGUAAAACUCUGUUGUUAGGGAAGAACAAGUGCUAGUUGAAUAAGCUGGCACCUUGACGGUACCUAACCAGAAAGCCACGGCUAACUACGUGCCAGCCGCCGCCGUAA